UUUCCGUAGGUGAACCUGCGGAAGGAUCAUUAUUGAAUAACCGCUGUGCUGUAGCUGUCGCUGAGCCGAAUGGUCGUGCACUGCCCAGUGCCCUCACACACAUCCACUUCCCCCCUGUAUGAACCCCUGAGGGGGGCUUCCUUUCUGUUGUUCGGGAGGGGUGUUACUUUUUGCGUCUAUCUUUGAAACCAUUGUAGAUUGUAUUUUUUAUUUUGAUGUACCGCCUAUCAAUACAACUUUCAACAACGGAUCUCUUGGCUCUC
rnacentral:misc_RNA from 1 species